UGUAAGUCUCAGCUUGUCCUUGCU
rnacentral:siRNA from 1 species